CCCUCCUACAAAGGCGUGCCUGUGGUUCCCUGUCUUUGGACACGUAAGAAUUGGAGGCAAAGAAAUGUGGACUUAGAAGUCUGGAGCCAGCUUGCUCCCUGCAGGCUCAAGAUCAACCAUCCCACAUAG
ensembl:snoRNA SNORA38B small nucleolar RNA SNORA38